GAUGAACGCUGGCGGCGUGCCUAACACAUGCAAGUCGAGCGGAAAUAUUCAGAAGUAUACGUACGGAUGGAUAUUUUAGCGGCGGACGGGUGAGUAACACGUGAGCAACCUACCUUUUGCUGGGGAAUAACAUCGGGAAACCGAUGCUAAUACCGCAUGACAUUCCGAUGGGGCAUCCUGUUGGAAUCAAAGGAGAGAUCCGGCAAGAGAUGGGCUCGCGUCCGAUUAGCUGGUUGGUGAGGUAACGGCUCACCAAGGCGACGAUCGGUAGCCGGACUGAGAGGUUGGACGGCCACAUUGGGACUGAGACACGGCCCAGACUCCUACGGGAGGCAGCAGUGGGGAAUAUUGGGCAAUGGGGGAAACCCUGACCCAGCAACGCCGCGUGAAGGACGAAGGCCUUCGGGUCGUAAACGUUCUUGAUCAGGGACGAAAGCGAUGACGGUACCUGAGGAACAAGCCACGGCUAACUACGUGCCAGCAGCCGCGGUAAGCACGAGAGUAC
rnacentral:rRNA from 1 species